AGAUUAAGUUAUUAAGGGCGCACGGUGGAUGCCUUGGCACUAGAAGCCGAAGAAGGACGUUACUAACGACGAUAUGCUUUGGGGAGCUGUAAGUAAGCGUUGAUCCAGAGAUUUCCGAAUGGGGAAACCCAACAUGAGUUAUGUCAUGUUAUCGAUAUGUGAAUACAUAGCAUAUCAGAAGGCAGACCCGGAGAACUGAAACAUCUUAGUACCCGGAGGAAGAGAAAGAAAAAUCGAUUCCCUGAGUAGCGGCGAGCGAAACGGGAAGAGCCCAAACCAACAAGCUUGCUUGUUGGGGUUGUAGGACACUCUAUACGGAGUUACAAAAGUAUAUAUUAGACGAAUCAUCUGGAAAGUUGAAUCAAAGAAGGUAAUAAUCCUGUAGUCGAAAAUAUAUACUCUCUUGAGUGGAUCCUGAGUACGACGGAGCACGUGAAAUUCCGUCGGAAUCUGGGAGGACCAUCUCCUAAGGCUAAAUACUCUCUAGUGACCGAUAGUGAACCAGUACCGUGAGGGAAAGGUGAAAAGUACCCCGGAAGGGGAGUGAAAGAGAACUUGAAACCGUGUGCUUACAAGUAGUCAGAGCCCGUUAAUGGGUGAUGGCGUGCCUUUUGUAGAAUGAACCGGCGAGUUACGAUUUGAUGCAAGGUUAAGCAGUGAAUGUGGAGCCGUAGCGAAAGCGAGUCUGAAUAGGGCGUUGAGUAUUUGGUCGUAGACCCGAAACCAGGUGAUCUACCCUUGGUCAGGUUGAAGUUCAGGUAACACUGAAUGGAGGACCGAACCGACUUACGUUGAAAAGUGAGCGGAUGAACUGAGGGUAGCGGAGAAAUUCCAAUCGAACCUGGAGAUAGCUGGUUCUCUCCGAAAUAGCUUUAGGGCUAGCCUCAAGUGAUGAUUAUUGGAGGUAGAGCACUGUUUGGACGAGGGGCCCUUCUCGGGUUACCGAAUUCAGACAAACUCCGAAUGCCAAUCAAUUUAACUUGGGAGUCAGAACAUGGGUGAUAAGGUCCGUGUUCGAAAGGGAAACAGCCCAGACCACCAGCUAAGGUCCCAAAAUAUAUGUUAAGUGGAAAAGGAUGUGGCGUUGCCCAGACAACUAGGAUGUUGGCUUAGAAGCAGCCAUCAUUUAAAGAGUGCGUAAUAGCUCACUAGUCGAGUGACACUGCGCCGAAAAUGUACCGGGGCUAAACAUAUUACCGAAGCUGUGGAUUGUCCGUAGGACAAUGGUAGGAGAGCGUUCUAAGGGCGUUGAAGCAUGAUCGCAAGGACAUGUGGAGCGCUUAGAAGUGAGAAUGCCGGUGUGAGUAGCGAAAGACGGGUGAGAAUCCCGUCCACCGAUUGACUAAGGUUUCCAGAGGAAGGCUCGUCCGCUCUGGGUUAGUCGGGUCCUAAGCUGAGGCCGACAGGCGUAGGCGAUGGAUAACAGGUUGAUAUUCCUGUACCACCUAGUAUCGUUUUAAUCGAUGGGGGGACGCAGUAGGAUAGGCGAAGCGUGCUAUUGGAUUGCACGUCCAAGCAGUAAGACUGAGUGUUAGGCAAAUCCGGCACUCAUAAGGUCAAGCUGUGAUGGGGAGAGGAAAUUGUUUCCUCGAGUCGUUGAUUUCACACUGCCAAGAAAAGCCUCUAGAUAGAUAACAGGUGCCCGUACCGCAAACCGACACAGGUAGUCAAGAUGAGAAUUCUAAGGUGAGCGAGCGAACUCUCGUUAAGGAACUCGGCAAAAUGACCCCGUAACUUCGGGAGAAGGGGUGCUCUUUAGGGUUAACGCCCAGAAGAGCCGCAGUGAAUAGGCCCAAGCGACUGUUUAUCAAAAACACAGGUCUCUGCUAAACCGUAAGGUGAUGUAUAGGGGCUGACGCCUGCCCGGUGCUGGAAGGUUAAGAGGAGUAGUUAGCUUCUGCGAAGCUACGAAUCGAAGCCCCAGUAAACGGCGGCCGUAACUAUAACGGUCCUAAGGUAGCGAAAUUCCUUGUCGGGUAAGUUCCGACCCGCACGAAAGGCGUAACGAUUUGGGCACUGUCUCAACGAGAGACUCGGUGAAAUCAUAGUACCUGUGAAGAUGCAGGUUACCCGCGACAGGACGGAAAGACCCCGUGGAGCUUUACUGUAGCCUGAUAUUGAAAUUCGGCACAGCUUGUACAGGAUAGGUAGGAGCCUUUGAAACGUGAGCGCUAGCUUACGUGGAGGUAUUGGUGGGAUACUACCCUAGCUGUGUUGGCUUUCUAACCCGCACCACUUAUCGUGGUGGGAGACAGUGUCAGGUGGGCAGUUUGACUGGGGCGGUCGCCUCCUAAAAGGUAACGGAGGCGCUCAAAGGUUCCCUCAGAAUGGUUGGAAAUCAUUCAUAGAGUGUAAAGGCAUAAGGGAGCUUGACUGCGAGACUUACAAGUCGAGCAGGGUCGAAAGACGGACUUAGUGAUCCGGUGGUUCCGCAUGGAAGGGCCAUCGCUCAACGGAUAAAAGCUACCCCGGGGAUAACAGGCUUAUCUCCCCCAAGAGUUCACAUCGACGGGGAGGUUUGGCACCUCGAUGUCGGCUCAUCGCAUCCUGGGGCUGUAGUCGGUCCCAAGGGUUGGGCUGUUCGCCCAUUAAAGCGGUACGCGAGCUGGGUUCAGAACGUCGUGAGACAGUUCGGUCCCUAUCCGUCGUGGGCGUAGGAAAUUUGAGAGGAGCUGUCCUUAGUACGAGAGGACCGGGAUGGACAUACCUCUGGUGUACCAGUUGUCGUGCCAACGGCAUAGCUGGGUAGCUAUGUAUGGACGGGAUAAGUGCUGAAAGCAUCUAAGCAUGAAGCCCCCCUCAAGAUGAGAUUUCCCAACUUCGGUUAUAAGAUCCCUCAAAGAUGAUGAGGUUAAUAGGUUCGAGGUGGAAGCGUGGUGACACGUGGAGCUGACGAAUACUAAUCGAUCGAAGACUUAAUCAAUUU
rnacentral:rRNA from 1 species